AGUUGUGCCGCCAGGGCCGCGUGCUUCGCUGCUUGCCUCAUUGCCUUCGUCUGUUGUUUUCUUGGCGCGCAGCACAGAACCACAGACAAUUUCCCAAGUUGGCAGGAACCCACAUGGAUGACCGAGCGCAAAACCGGGCUUUACACAGGACCUCUCAAAAUCCAAACCCCGUGUUCGAGAGCGGUGUCCAAACGUUGUUUGAACUCCGGCAGUCCCACAGCUCUGGGCAGCCUGUUCCGUGCCCACCGCCCUCUGGCGCACAGCCUGUCCCUAACCCCUGCCUGCCCCUCCCUGAUGCAGUUCCAUGCCGUAGCAGCUGGCUACCGCUUCAGACAAAAACAACUCUUUGUUCACUUGCUUGUCUGUUGAAUGAUUGCUCUUCAUGUCAGUGAACUGUUCUGUACACAAGUAAUCUGUCAUGGAAUCCAUUUGCACAAAAAAAUCCAGAACUGUUUUGCUUUCCUGCCCUACCUCAGGAGGUGAAGCUUCAGAGCACUCCCCUGCAGUAUGCUCUGAAUAAAUGUGAACUUCAUGGAACGUUGUGUAAAAAUACCGUUCUGAGUUGUGAAGGAUUUCAUUUAUCUUCUAAUGGCCAGACAGGGCAGGUUAGUUAUUCCUCUGGAGAAGCUUGAGUCACCACUGAUAUAACAGAAGCCUCUAGAGAGGAUGGAUUUUCAUCUUGCAGUUGAAGUGAAGGCCUUGUUCUCUAAGAAAUUAUACACUCCUGGUUUCAAAUGCAGUCUUCUCUUUAGUGAAAUCUUGCAGCUGGAUUUUCCAGUAGAUGCAUGUGUACUAUUGCAGAGCUUAAUAUAGCUGGAAAAAGAAAGAUGAUGAAGGGCCUGGAGCAUCUCCCAUGUGAGGAAAGGCUGAGUUACCUGGGUCUCUUCAGCCUGGACAAAAGAAGACUGAGAGAGGAUCUGAUCAAGGUUUAUAAAAAAAAGCACAGGAGACAAAUGGUUGAGCUCAGACUCUUCAGUGAUGUGUAGUGAUAAGACAAGGAGCAAUGUCCAAAAACUGGAACGUAUGCUGUUCCACACAAAUAUGCAGAAGAACUUCUUUACACUGAGGGUGAUGGAUCACUGGAACAGUCUGCACAGAGAGGCUGUGGAGUCUCCUUUGGAGAUAUUCAAGACCCAUCUUGAUGCCCAACUGUGUGACCCAUUGUAGGGUACCUGCUUUAGAGGAGCAUGGAUUCAAUGAUCUCUUGCGGUCCCUUCCAACCCCUGCAAGUCUGUGAUUCUGUGAAGAAGGAGCGCCUUAAAAUUGUGGGAUAGGACAUGAAACGGGGAUUAACUAAUGUUAAACUUAGAUAAGCAACUUGUUAGUAUCAAAAAGUGCUGACAAUUCUUCCCUCACUAGGAGAAAGCAGCUUCAUUUCCCCACUAAUAGAACAAAAUAAUUUCUACCUGUGGAAUGGCAAAAUUCAGCUUUGCCUACAAUACUCAGGAUCCUGAGUUGCUUUCGAUUGAAAGGCAAAUUCUAAUAAAUAAUGAAUCAUGAUUGUGAAUAUUACAUUUAUCUAAACUC
ensembl:lncRNA